rnacentral:rRNA from 1 species
GUGCCAGCCGCCGCGGUAAUACCGGCAGCCCGAGUGAUGGCCGAUAUUAUUGGGCCUAAAGCGUCCGUAGCUGGCCGCGUACGUCCGUCGGGAAAUCCACGCGCUCAACGCGUGGGCGACCGACGGAGUCGGCGCGGCUUGGGACCGGAAGGCGCGACGGGUACGUCCGGGGUAGGAGUGAAAUCCUAUAAUCCCGGACGGACCGCCGAUGGCGAAAGCACGUCGCGAGGACGGCUCCGACAGUGAGGGACGAAAGCUGGGGUCUCGAACCGGAUUAGAUACCCGUGUAGUCC